AAAAUCAGCCACUAAAAUUGCAGUAAUCAACCAUGUCAACAACAUGUGGGUCCCACUAGAAAAAAAAAUUAUACUAAUGAGCUUCGUUACUUUACUUAAAGAUGAUACCCAAUUGGUCUAUGUUAUAAUGAAGGUCGUGUAUAUCUAAUGGGCUUCGUGAGUCAAAAUAAAAAAGUCAUCGAUUUUCUUUUGCGAUUAGAUUUUCUAUGUAAAGCCUAUAUGGUUAAGCAUCGUCGUCGAAGUGGAGAUAGGGUUUUCUUCAUAGCUUCAGACAAAUCUGGAAAACUCAGCUCACCCUUUGUCAAGUUGACAUCUGUCAUCGUGUUUUUUUUUUUUAUGUUUUAGACGAUAUGUCAAUGAGUUUGAAUUACGAUUAAUGUUUGGCCCAAACUUUAACUUACACAUAGGCCCAUAUCAGAAAACUUAAUUGAGCUUGAAGUUACGGUGGAUUCGUGGAGAGCAUGAGAUUUGCAUUAACAUCGUCCUCUCCACUUCCUGCCGGGAGUAACUGACCUCAAUUAUGCUUCCCAAUAAAUUAUCCCCACUAGGUCCUAUUGAAUGGAGAUCCUUUGGUUUCUCUGCUAAGCGUAUUUUCUGUAUAUAUAUAUAUAUAUAUAUCGUCCUCUUCCUUCAGAUGAGAUUCAUGCUUUUAGAUUCUCUAUACCACACGAUACCUAGCCAAACUGAAACUCACUGUGAUGAUGAUUUUCCAAAUCUACUUUUCCGAUCUGGAGGUGGGGCGUUGUAAGGAGACUAGCAAUCUGCAGAAGGUAGGCGAGCUAAUUGGGGUAAACAUGGUGUUACUGGACAAGAAGGCUGAUGUUGAUGGGAACAGGACAAACUGCCUAAAUCGAGCACAUUGCUGCAACAAUGCUUGAAAGUAAUGAGAAUCAUCAUGAAGUUGGUCAGCAGGGGAAGGAUCCUGUCAACGAGUCUGAUGUGGAGUUAGCUUAUGUAAGAGUCUGAGAUGGUUCUAGGAGAUGGAAGGGGAAGAAGGAAUAAGGAAUAAUCAGGUGUGAGCUGGAGAGGCUGCACAGGUAGUUAACGGAGCACAUGGGCUGUUUGCUCAAGUGGCGAGUCUUAUAUAUAUUGACUGAGGAAUGUUGUGAGGGUUAUAAAUAGAUUUGAUCAAAGUUGAAAGGGAGGAGAGAGACUCCCAAUAUUAAUUCUCUCAAAUCAUGUAUACAGUUUUAUCAGAUCUAUACAAUCAUCAUUUCUCAGAAUAUCUCAUAACAGCCUUCCAACAUUUUGACAAAGACAGCAGCAGAACGUUUGUGUACAUUCCAAUAGACUAAUUAGAAGCUGCACUGAAGGAAUAUGGAAUGGGAGAUGAUGCAACAACCAAAGAGGUUUCCUCAUACGACGAUUCAUAUAACGUAAGCAAAAACAAUUUACCAUAUCAUCUCUGGCUGUCGUAUUUAAAGAAUGUAUUUUCCCAUUUAAGAGUUCUUCUCACGACUGAGCUUCACUGCGCAUCAUCCAUUUUUAAAGUGUUGUUGUCGUAUUAUUUACACUCAGUGAAAAAACAACACGAAUCAGUUUUGAUGUUAAUCUGUGAUACAAAAACCAUUGGCUGAUUAUUAUAUCACGGGAAGAGACAUGUCUACCAAUAAUAAGCACUUCAGAUAGUGUUUCAAAACAUAAUACUAUUGAUUACUUAGGAGUAAGAAGACAGGGAAUUAAGAGAUACCUAAGAAUUGGUUUUAGGUUAUAUAUAAUGCAAAUUGUUAUUGAACAAAAUAGUUGGUAAUAAUAUAAACAGAAUUUGAUAUAUAAUUUGUUUUAUUUGUUUAUAGCAUAACUUCAGUGGAAGUGAUGGAUGUUGAUAAUACUAUCAUAAAAGAUGUUAGCUGAUUAUAAGACUUGAUCAAAUAUUUGGAAUAAAGUGUGGUAAUUCAUCUUAGUGACGUUUUUGAGUUGUAACUUCAAAAUUUGAAAUAUAGUUACUAUUAUUUGUGAUACUUCUUUUGAUUCGUUUGUGAUAUGUAGAACAAGAGUAACAUAGUAAAAUUUAGAUUCUCGCAUAGUAUUACAGAUAGAAAGAGGAUCAGUCACAUAGUUGAACGCAAAUAAAUCUACAAAACAUAUUAUAAACAUUUUAAAGUAUUGAUCAGAAUUAUAUAAAUGAUCGUCCAAGCGAGCUGUGAAUCAAUAAGUUUUAAUCGUUUUAUCAAUGGUUUACGAAGAAAACCUUAAUUCUAUUUAGGGUUUUCAAAUUGAAUUUGGAUACAUUUGAGCUUGCUUUUUUUUGUUUGAAUCCAAUAUGUAGAGCAGAAUCAGAGUUAGAAAGAAUAAAAUUUUCAUUUUUAUAUUUUGAACAUAUAUUCUUUACUAAGACUAUAAAAUGAAUUGUAAAUUCAUGUAAGAAUUAAACAUAUGAACCCGGCGCGUAGCGCCGGAAUACCACUAGU